rnacentral:rRNA from 1 species
UACGUAGGGUGCGAGCGUUAAUCGGAAUUACUGGGCGUAAAGGGCGCGUAGGCGGCCUUCUAAGUCAGACGUGAAAUCCCCCAGGCUUAACUUGGGAACUGCGUCUGAUACUGGGAGGCUUGAGUGCGGGAGAGGGAUGUGGAAUUCCAGGUGUAGCGGUGAAAUGCGUAGAUAUCUGGAGGAACACCGGUGGCGAAGGCGGCAUCCUGGACCGGCAUUGACGCUGAGGGAGCGAAAGCCAGGGGAGCAAACGGG